CCUACGGGAGGCUGCAGUGGGGAAUAUUGGACAAUGAGGGGAACCCUGAUCCAGCCAUGCCGCGUGUGUGAAGAAGGCCCUCGGGUUGUAAAGCACUUUCAGUGAGGAAGAACGCCUGGUGGUUAAUACCCAUCAGGAAAGACAUCACUCACAGAAGAAGCACCGGCUAACUCCGUGCCAGCAGCCGCGGUAAUACGGAGGGUGCGAGCGUUAAUCGGAAUUACUGGGCGUAAAGCGCGCGUAGGUGGCUUGAUAAGCCGGUUGUGAAAGCCCCGGGCUCAACCUGGGAACGGCGUCCGGAACUGUCAAGCUAGAGUGCAGGAGAGGAAGGUAGAAUUCCCGGUGUAGCGGUGAAAUGCGUAGAGAUCGGGAGGAAUACCAGUGGCGAAGGCGGCCUUCUGGACUGACACUGACACUGAGGUGCGAAAGCGUGGGUAGCAAACAGGAUUAGAUACCCCAGUAGUC
rnacentral:rRNA from 1 species